GUUGGUGGCUCCCGCGCUGGGGGUACACCUGGUCCCUUCCCGAACCCAGUCGUUAAGUCCAGCAGCGCCAAUGGUACUUGGGGAGCCAUCCCCUGGGAGAGUAGGCCGCCGCCAACA
rnacentral:rRNA from 1 species